rnacentral:rRNA from 1 species
GCAAGUCGAACGCGAAAGUCACUUCGGUGGCGAGUAGAGUGGCGGACGGGUGAGUAACGCGUAGGAAUCUACCCAGUAGUGGGGGACAACUCGGGGACACUCGAGCUACUACCGCAUACGCCCUACGGGGGAAAGUGGGGGAUCUUCGGACCUCACGCUAUUGGAUGAGCCUGCGUCGGAUUAGCGAGUUGGUAGGGUAAAGGCCUACAAAGGCGACGAUCCGUAGCUGGUCUGAGAGGACGAGC